rnacentral:rRNA from 1 species
CACGUAGGCGGACUGGAAAGUUGGAGGUGAAAUCCCAGGGCUCAACCUCGGAACUGCCUUCAAAACUAUCAGUCUGGAGUUCGAGAGAGGUGAGUGGAAUUCCGAGUGUAGAGGUGAAAUUCGUAGAUAUUCGGAGGAACACCAGUGGCGAAGGCGGCUCACUGGCUCGAUACUGACGCUGAGGUGCGAAAGUGUGGGGAGCAAACA